UAGAGUUUGAUCCUGGCUCAGGACGAACGCUGGCGGCGUGCUUAACACAUGCAAGUCGAACGGUGAACCUUGGAGCUUGCUUUAAGGGGAUCAGUGGCGAACGGGUGAGUAACACGUGAGUAACCUGCCCCGGACUCUGGAAUAAGCGCUGGAAACGGCGUCUAAUACCGGAUACGAGACGCAACCGCAUGGUUAGUGUCUGGAAAGUUUUUCGGUCUGGGAUGGACUCGCGGCCUAUCAGCUUGUUGGUGAGGUAAUGGCUCACCAAGGCGACGACGGGUAGCCGGCCUGAGAGGGCGACCGGCCACACUGGGACUGAGACACGGCCCAGACUCCUACGGGAGGCAGCAGUGGGGAAUAUUGCACAAUGGGCGAAAGCCUGAUGCAGCGACGCCGCGUGAGGGAUGACGGCCUUCGGGUUGUAAACCUCUUUCAGCAGGGAAGAAGCGAAAGUGACGGUACCUGCAGAAGAAGCACCGGCUAACUACGUGCCAGCAGCCGCGGUAAUACGUAGGGUGCGAGCGUUGUCCGGAAUUAUUGGGCGUAAAGAGCUUGUAGGCGGUUUGUCGCGUCUGCUGUGAAAAUCCGGGGCUCAACCCCGGACUUGCAGUGGGUACGGGCAGACUAGAGUGUGGUAGGGGAGACUGGAAUUCCUGGUGUAGCGGUGAAAUGCGCAGAUAUCAGGAGGAACCCCGAUGGCGAAGGCAGGUCUCUGGGCCACUACUGACGCUGAGAAGCGAAAGCAUGGGGAGCGAACAGGAUUAGAUACCCUGGUAGUCCAUGCCGUAAACGUUGGGCGCUAGGUGUGGGACUCAUUCCACGAGUUCCGUGCCGCAGCUAACGCAUAAAGCGCCGCCGGCCUGGGGU
rnacentral:rRNA from 1 species